AUGGAAAGCAAGCAAAUAACAUUCACAGAGGAGCAAUUUCUCUCAAUGUCACAAGAAGAACUGAUCCUAAAUAUGGAAAGCAAGCAAAUAACAUUCACAGAGGAGCAAUUUCUCUCAAUGUCACAAGAAGAACUGAUCCUGAAUGAUACAUUUUCAUUCACUGCGCUUCUACGAUCUGACAUUAUAUACAAGGUUCAUUCAGGGAAUUCACCUGUGAACACAUAUCAACAAAGAGAGGAAGUGUCCGGGAAAGACACAUACGACAACACCGGCGCAGAACUUGAUUCAAAUACAUUGCAACAAAUGCAUCAAGACAUAGCAACUAAAGAACAAGCAACAGAACCAAACCCCUGGGACACAAACCUAUUUGACAACAUUCAAUUGGAGCAGAUCAUUGAAGAUGAUGAACCCACUACAGCAGCAGCAACAUCUCAAUCAACUACUACAGCAAGUGCAUCAAACACAGAAUCAACAGACACUAGAGCGCUCACUGACACAAGAGAAAACACUGAAGAACAAAGAGGAGGUCCUGAGAACUCACGUGAAGAACACAAAGACAAUGCCUUUCUCGAUAAAGAAGACACUGAGAAGUUCCUGCAAAAUGAAGAAGAUGUUGCAUCAGAGGGCAAUCUGAUGAACAUUAGUAGCAAUUUGAAGCCGCAUAUGGGCAUGCAGUUCAAAACAAAAGAAGAAGGGCAAGAAUAUUUCAAUUUUUACUCAAAAGUUGCUGGGUUUUCAGUGGCUAUAGUAGCAGCAUCAAGAACCAUAAGCAAAAAAAGGAAUAAUGAGGUUACAAGAAUUACUAUGAAGUGCAACAAAUAUGGAAAGACAAAGGAAAAUGAUAGAGUAUGUGUAGUGCCUACAAGAAAAUCUACAGUCAUUGCAAAAACAGACUACAAAGUGGUGAUGGUCAUAACCGACAAAAGAGGUGCAUGGGAAAUUACUAGACUAGAACUAGAACACAACCACGAGUUGACCCCAAACAACAGAUAA
rnacentral:rRNA from 1 species